rnacentral:rRNA from 1 species
AGUGAACGCUGGCGGUAGGCCUAACACAUGCAAGUCGAACGGCAGCACAGGAGAGCUUGCCCUCUGGGUGGCGAGUGGCGGACGGGUGAGGAAUACAUCGGAAUCUACUCUGUCGUGGGGGAUAACGUAGGGAAACUUACGCUAAUACCGCAUACGACCUACGGGUGAAAGCAGGGGACCUUUGGGCCUUGCGCGAUUGAAUGAGCCGAUGUCGGAUUAGCUAGUUGGCGGGGUAAAGGACCACCAAUGCGACGAUCCGUAGCUGGUCUGAGAGGAUGAUCAGCCACACUGGAACUGAGACACGGUCCAGACUCCUACGGGAGGCAGCAGUGGGGAAUAUUGGACAAUGUGCGCAAGCCUGAUCCAGCCAUACCGCGUGGGUGAAGAAGGCCUUCGGGUUGUAAAGCCCUUUUGUUGGGAAAGAAAUCCAGCUGGCUAAUACCCGGUUGGGAUGACGGUACCCAAAGAAUAAGCACCGACUAACUUCGUGCCAGCAGCCGCCGCCG